rnacentral:rRNA from 1 species
AGAGGUGGCAAGCGUUGUUCGGAAUUACUGGGCGUAAAGGGCGCGUAGGCGGUUGAUUAAGUCCCGUGUGAAAUCCCUCGGCUCAACUGAGGAACUGCACGGGAAACUGGCCGACUUGAGUUCGGGAGAGGGAAGCGGAAUUCCGGGUGUAGCGGUGAAAUGCGUAGAUAUCCGGAGGAACACCGGUGGCGAAGGCGGCUUCCUGGACCGAUACUGACGCUGAGGCGCGAAAGCUAGGGGAGCAAACGGGAUUAGAUACCCCGGUAGUCCUAGCUGUAAACGAUGAGUGCUGGGUGUAGGGGGUAUUAACCCCUCCUGUGCCGAAGCUAACGCAUUAAGCACUCCGCCUGGGGAGUACGGUCGCAAGGCUG